rnacentral:rRNA from 1 species
CCUACGGGAGGCAGCAGUGAGGAAUAUUGGUCAAUGGACGAAAGUCUGAACCAGCCAAGUAGCGUGAAGGAUGACUGCCCUAUGGGUUGUAAACUUCUUUUAUAUGGGAAUAAAAUGUUCACCGGGGGGGGUUUUGUAUGUACCAUAUGAAUAAGGAUCGGCUAACUCCGUGCCAGCAGCCGCGGUAAUACGGAGGAUCCGAGCGUUAUCCGGAUUUAUUGGGUUUAAAGGGGGCGUAGGUGGAUUGUUAAGUCAGUUGUGAAAGUUUGCGGCUCAACCGUAAAAUUGCAGUUGAAACUGGCAGUCUUGAGUACAGUAGAGGUAGGCGGAAUUCGUGGUGUAGCGGUGAAAUGCUUAGAUAUCACGAAGAACUCCGAUUGCGAAGGCAGCUCACUGGACCGCAACUGACACUGAGGCUCGAAAGUGUGGGUAUCAAACAGGAUUAGAUACCCUAGUAGUC